rnacentral:rRNA from 1 species
GUGCCAGCCGCCGCGGUAAAACGUAGGUGGCAAGCGUUAUCCGGAUUCACUGGGCGUAAAGCGAGUGCAGGUGGUUGUGUAAGUUGGAUGUGAAAUUUCCAGGCCUAACCUGGAAGGGUCAUUCAAUACUGCGCGACUUGAGGGCAGAAGAGGGGGGUGGAAUUGCCGGUGUAGUGGUGAAAUGCGUAGAUAUCGGCAGGAACACCUGUGGCGAAAGCGGCCCCCUGGUCUGCUCCUGACACUCAGACUCGAAAGCUAGGGUAGCGAACGGGAUUAGAAACCCCCGUAGUCC